UUGCUUCGGCAGCACAUAUACUAAAAUUGGAACGAUACAGAGAAGAUUAGCAUGGCCCCUGCGCAAGGAUACACGCAAAUUUGUGAAGCAUUCCACCUAUCA
rnacentral:snRNA from 1 species